rnacentral:rRNA from 1 species
AUUGAACGCUGGCGGCAGGCCUAACACAUGCAAGUCGAACGAGUGGCGGACGGGUGAGUAAUGUCUGGGAAACUGCCCGAUGGAGGGGGAUAACUACUGGACACGGUAGCUAAUACCGCAUACCCUCGGAUGUGCCCAGAUGGGAUUCGCUAGUGGGUGGGGGACGGGCUCCACUAGGCGACGAUCCCUAGCUGGGCUGAGAGGAUGACCAGCCACACUGGAACUGAGACACGGUCCAGACUCCUACGGGAGGCAGCAGUGGGGAAUAUGGCACAAUGGGCGCAAGCCUGAUGCAGCCAGGCCGCGUGUAUGAAGAAGGCCUUCGGGUUGUAAAGUACUUUCAGCGAGGAGGCGUUACUCGCAGAAGAAGCACCGGCUAACUCCGUGCCAGCAGCCGCGGUAAUAC